AAAUUGAAGAGUUUGAUCAUGGCUCAGAUUGAACGCUGGCGGCAGGCCUAACACAUGCAAGUCGAGCGGUAGCACAGAGAGCUUGCUCUCGGGUGACGAGCGGCGGACGGGUGAGUAAUGUCUGGGAAACUGCCUGAUGGAGGGGGAUAACUACUGGAAACGGUAGCUAAUACCGCAUAAUGUCGCAAGACCAAAGUGGGGGACCUUCGGGCCUCAUGCCAUCAGAUGUGCCCAGAUGGGAUUAGCUAGUAGGUGGGGUAACGGCUCACCUAGGCGACGAUCCCUAGCUGGUCUGAGAGGAUGACCAGCCACACUGGAACUGAGACACGGUCCAGACUCCUAC
rnacentral:rRNA from 1 species